rnacentral:rRNA from 1 species
GGGCUGGAACCUCUCGGGGUUACAGCCUUGCUGAAUUAUUCACCCUUGUCUUUUGCGUACUUCUUGUUUCCUUGGUGGGUUCGCCCACCACUAGGACAAACAUAAACCUUUUGUAAUUGCAAUCAGCGUCAGUAACAAAUUAAUAAUUACAACUUUCAACAACGGAUCUCUUGGUUCUGGCAUCGAUGAAGAACGCAGCGAAAUGCGAUAAGUAGUGUGAAUUGCAGAAUUCAGUGAAUCAUCGAAUCUUUGAACGCACAUUGCGCCCUUUGGUAUUCCAAAGGGCAUGCCUGUUCGAGCGUCAUUUGUACCCUCAAGCUUUGCUUGGUGUUGGGCGUCUUGUCUCUAGCUUUGCUGGAGACUCGCCUUAAAGUAAUUGGCAGCCGGCCUACUGGUUUCGGAGCGCAGCACAAGUCGCACUCUCUAUCAGCAAAGGUCUAGCAUCCAUUAAGCCUUUUUUUCAACUUUUGACCUCGGAUCAGGUAGGGAUACCCGCUGAACUUAAGCAUAUCAAUA